rnacentral:rRNA from 1 species
UAGGGAAUCUUCCACAAUGGGCGAAAGCCUGAUGGAGCAACGCCGCGUGUGUGAUGAAGGGUUUCGGCUCGUAAAACACUGUUGUAAGAGAAGAAUGACAUUGAGAGUAACUGUUCAAUGUGUGACGGUAUCUUACCAGAAAGGAACGGCUAAAUACGNGCCAG